ACUGAAUAGAUACCCUGGUAGUCCUAGCAGUAAACGGUGCGCGUUUGGUGUAGGAGGAUUCGACCCCUUCUGUGCCGGAGCUAAACGCGUUAAACGCGCCGCCUGGGGAGUACGGUCGCAAGAUUAAAACUCAAAGAAAUUGACGGGGGCCCGCACAAGCGGUGGAGUAUGUGGCUUAAUUCGAUGCAACGCGAAGAACCUUACCUAGGCUUGACAUGCAUCUCUAAGUCGGUGAAAGCCGGCGACUGUAGCAAUACAGAAUUUGCACAGGUGCUGCAUGGCUGUCGUCAGCUCGUGUCGCGAGAUGUUGGGUUUAAGUCCCGCAACGAGCGCAACCCCCGUGGCCUGUUGCCACCUACCUUCGGGUAGAGCACUCUGGCCAGACUGCCCUGUGAAACGGGGAGGAAGGUGGGGAUGACGUCAAGUCAGCAUGGCCCUUACGCCUAGGGCUGCACACGUACUACAAUGCCCAGUACAGAACGAGCCGAAACCGCGAGGUGGAGGAAAUCCCUAAAACUGGGCUCAAUUCGGAUCGCA
rnacentral:rRNA from 1 species